rnacentral:rRNA from 1 species
UACGAAGGGGGCUAGCGUUGUUCGGAAUGACUGGGCGUAAAGGGCGCGUAGGCGGCGAUGUAAGUCAGGCGUGAAAGCCCCGGGCUCAACCUGGGAACGGCGCUUGAUACUGCGUUGCUUGAGGACGGGAGAGGAUGGUGGAAUUCCCAGUGUAGAGGUGAAAUUCGUAGAUAUUGGGAAGAACACCGGUGGCGAAGGCGGCUCACUGGCUCAUUACUGACGCUCAGGCGCGAUAGCGUGGGGAUCAAACAGG